rnacentral:tRNA from 1 species
GGGCGCUUAGCUCAGUUGGUUUAGAGCGUUUCCUUGACAUGGAAAAGGCCACAGGUUCAAGUCCUGUAGCGCCCACCA